AAGGGUUGAAUUUUGCUAAUUUCGUCUUGCACUCGUACACUAUUUUAAAGUCAUUUCGUGAUGAGUCAGGAAAAAAGGAAACGUUCUGAGAAUUGGAGUACUGAAGAAAAAGAUAUACUACGUGAGAUGAUUGGGCAGUCACACCACAUUAUAGAAAAUCGGUGUACAAAAGCUUCCUCCAACAAUAAAAAAACUCAAGAGUGGAAAGAUAUAACAAAGAGAUUAAAUGAAUUGACGGGAAAGUGUAGGUCAGACGGUGAUGUCAAGUUAGCGUGGAAGAGGAUGAAGCUCACAGCUAAAGCCAACUUGUCCACUCAUUGGCAAGAUUUAGGAAAGACGGGGGGUGGGAAUAAGCCCAAGUCGCCUUCACAGGAAGAUCUAGCCACAAUAAAUAUUGUUCCAGGCGAUUUUAUUGUCGAAUAUAAUAAUUU